rnacentral:rRNA from 1 species
ACCUCAAGAUAAGAUUUCCCUAGGACUUUAUGUCCUCUAAAGAGCCGUUGAAGACUACGACGUUGAUAGGUUGGAUGUGGAAGCAUAGUGAUAUGUGAAGCUGACCAAUACUAAUUGCUCGUGAGGCUUGACUAUACAACACCCAAACAGUUG